AGAGUUUGAUCAUGGCUCAGAACGAACGCUGGCGGCAGGCCUAACACAUGCAAGUCGAGCGAACCCUUCGGGGUUAGCGGCGGACGGGUGAGUAACGCGUGGGAACGUGCCCUUUGGUACGGGAUAGCCCUGGGAAACCGGGAGUAAUACCGUAUGUGGUCUUUCAUUGUAGUGAUGGGGGACGAAAGAUUUAUCGCCAAAGGAUCGGCCCGCGUUGGAUUAGGUAGUUGGUGGGGUAACGGCCUACCAAGCCGACGAUCCAUAGCUGGUUUGAGAGGAUGAUCAGCCACACUGGGACUGAGACACGGCCCAGACUCCUACGGGAGGCAGCAGUGGGGAAUCUUAGACAAUGGGGGAAACCCUGAUCUAGCCAUGCCGCGUGAGCGAUGAAGGCCUUAGGGUUGUAAAGCUCUUUCAGGGGGGAAGAUAAUGACGGUACCCCCAGAAGAAGCCCCGGCUAACUCCGUGCCAGCAGCCGCGGUAAUUC
rnacentral:rRNA from 1 species